AGCAUGUGGAUUAUUCGAAGCAACGCGCAGUAACCUUACCUAGGUUUGACAUGCUUGGAUGCUUGCCUAGGAAACAGGUUAAGCUGUCCCUUCGGGGUGAAACUUGCACAGGUGCUGCAUGGCUGUCGUCAGCUCGUGUCGUGAGAUGUCGGGUUAAGUCCUCUAACGAGCGAAACCCUUGCCGUUAGUUACCAGCGGGUUAUGCCGGGAACUCUAACGGGACUGCCGGUGUUAAACCGGAGGAAGGUGGGGAUGACGUCAAGUCAUCAUGGCCUUUAUGCCUAGGGCAUCACACGUGCUACAAUGACCGGUACAAAGCGACGCAAGACCGCGAGGUGGAGCCAAUCGCAAAAACCGGCCUCAGUUCGGAUUGCAGGCUGGCAACUCGCCUGCAUGAAGUUGGAAUCGCUAGUAAUCGUGAAUCAGCUAUGUCACGGUGAAUGUGUUCCUGAGCCUU
rnacentral:rRNA from 1 species